rnacentral:rRNA from 1 species
GACGAACGCUAGCGGCGUGCUUAACACAUGCCAGUCGAACGGAAAGGCCCUGCUUUUGUGGGGUGCUCGAGUGGCGAACGGGUGAGUAACACGUGAGUAACCUGCCCUUGACUUUGGGAUAACUUCAGGAAACUGGGGCUAAUACCGGAUAGGAGCUCCUGCUGCAUGGUGGGGGUUGGAAAGUUUCGGCGGUUGGGGAUGGACUCGCGGCUUAUCAGCUUGUUGGUGGGGUAGUGGCUUACCAAGGCUUUGACGGGUAGCCGGCCUGAGAGGGUGACCGGCCACAUUGGGACUGAGAUACGGCCCAGACUCCUACGGGAGGCAGCAGUGGGGAAUAUUGCACAAUGGGCGGAAGCCUGAUGCAGCAACGCCGCGUGCGGGAUGACGGCCUUCGGGUUGUAAACCGCUUUCGCCUGUGACGAAGCGUGAGUGACGGUAAUGGGUAAAGAAGCACCGGCUAACUACGUG